UACAGAGGGUGCGAGCGUUAAUCGGAAUUACUGGGCGUAAAGGGUGCGUAGGUGGUUGCGUAAGUUAGGUGUGAAAGCCCCGGGCUUAACCUGGGAAUUGCGCUUGAUACUGCGUGGCUAGAGUACUGUAGAGGAAGGUGGAAUUUCCAGUGUAGCGGUGAAAUGCGUAGAUAUUGGAAGGAACAUCAGUGGCGAAGGCGACUUUCUGGACAGAUACUGACACUGAGGCACGAAAGCAUGGGGAGCAAACAGG
rnacentral:rRNA from 1 species